rnacentral:sRNA from 3 species
UUUUAGUCCUGAUAGAAGGGGAAAUCCUUUUAUGCCGGGGUUCGGCAUAAAAGAUUGGAAUGAUAGCAGGAAAUAGC